UGCUUUAUGGAGUUAAGGAACAUUG
rnacentral:piRNA from 1 species